UUCCGGUUGAUCCUGCCGGAGGCCAUUGCUAUUGGGAUUCGAUUUAGCCAUGCUAGUCGCACGAGUUCAGGCUCGUGGCGAAUAGCUCAGUAACACGUGGCCAAACUACCCUUCGGAGCACGAUACCCUCGGGAAACUGAGGCUAAUAGUGCAUACCACAAUCCACCUGGAAUGAGGAUUGUGCCAAAUGCUCCGGCGCCGAAGGAUGUGGCUGCGGCCGAUUAGGUAGACGGUGGGGUAACGGCCCACCGUGCCAAUAAUCGGUACGGGUCAUGAGAGUGAGAACCCGGAGACGGAAUCUGAGACAAGAUUCCGGGCCCUACGGGGCGCAGCAGGCGCGAAACCUUUACACUGCACGCCAGUGCGAUAAGGGAAUCCCAAGUGCGUAGGCAUAGAGCCUACGCUUUUGUACACCGUAGGGAGGUGUACGAAUAAGGGCUGGGCAAGACCGGUGCCAGCCGCCGCGGUAAUACCGGCAGCCCGAGUGAUGGCCGAUCUUAUUGGGCCUAAAGCGUCCGUAGCUGGCCGCACAAGUCCAUCGGAAAAUCCACCCGCCCAACGGGUGGGCGUCCGGUGGAAACUGUGUGGCUUGGGACCGGAAGGCGCGACGGGUACGUCCGGGGUAGGAGUGAAAUCCCGUAAUCCUGGACGGACCGCCGAUGGCGAAAGCACGUCGCGAGGACGGAUCCGACAGUGAGGGACGAAAGCCAGGGUCUCGAACCGGAUUAGAUACCCGGGUAGUCCUGGCCGUAAACAAUGUCUGUUAGGUGUGGCUCCCACUACGAGUGGGUGCUGUGCCGUAGGGAAGCCGCUAAACAGACCGCCUGGGAAGUACGUCCGCAAGGAUGAAACUUAAAGGAAUAGGCGGGGGAGCACUACAACCGGAGGAGCCUGCGGUUUAAUUGGAUUCAACGCCGGG
rnacentral:rRNA from 1 species